UUUCCAAGAAGGUAAUCUUCAUCAGUUUUCUGUUCAUUGACAUCAAGCUUCUCAGAUUUUCCCCAUUUCCAAUCUUUUUUUUCCCCGUAACUCUUCUUGCUUUCUCUCGAGAUGUUCAAGCACAUCCAGCAAGAUCUUUUGUUGCCAAGGUUUUAGUUCAUGGAUACCCUAACAAUUCUUGAAGAGAAAAACUUUCCAAGUGCAGGAAAACAGAAAAAACAGAAGGGAAAAUAGAGUAACAAGAGAGGAAAUUCAGGAGGAAAGAAUGAGAUAUUUUCUUGAUAUUUCUCCUAGUUGUCACCUGGAACAAAAUCAGAUAUGAAACAGAGGUUCUACACAGAGAAAUGAAAAUGGAAACCCUAAAUGAUAAAUCUGAGAGAGAGAUUAGUUGAGAAGAGAAACAAAAAUGAUGGGAAGAAUCAGAGAAAAGAGAAGUAGAAAGAGAUACUCUUGUAUUGAUUCUUGAUAUUUCUUGAAUAUUCAAAAAGUUAGGGUUUUGGAAUCCUAACAAAAUAGAAAUGAAAGAAAAAAGAGAUUGGAAGAAGUUAUAGAGAAAAGAAAGGAGAUAUUUGCAGAGAGAGACAGAGAGAGUAGAAAGAUUGUUAUUUUAGAUAUUUCCUGGAAUUUCAAGAGUUUCAAGACAGAAAGAACGAAGAACAAUAAUAGAAAUAAGAGUAGAAGAAAUCUAGAUUCCAAGAAGAAAGGAAGAAGAAGAAGAAUUAGGGUUUUGCCAAGAAGAAAGAAGAAAUGGAGUAUCCAUACAGAGAAGAAAAGGACAUAAGAUAAAACGGAGAGAGAAGAAAUAGAGUGAAAAAGGAAGAAGAAAUAGAAGGAAAGAAAAGAGAAAGAUAGAGGAACAAAGAGAAACCUGGAAUUUCGGUUCAGGAAAUGAUUGCGACCUUGAAGAAGUAGAAAUCCAGCAAUGACCAUUCACUUUAAGCUCUGAUACCAACCGUUGCGUAUUAGACCUGUUAUGCCCUUCGAAACAGAGAAAUGGGGAGAAAGAGAUAAAAACAGACCAAGUGAGAAAAAAAUACAAAAAGGAGAUAAGAUUUAGUGAGAAUUAGAGAAGAAGAAAGAUAAUUCUUUGCAUUUAUUCUUGAAGUGAUUACAAGUAUUGUUUCUAUUUUUAUACUUCUAGC
rnacentral:misc_RNA from 1 species